rnacentral:rRNA from 1 species
UGGGGAAUAUUGGACAAUGGGCGCAAGCCUGAUCCAGCAAUGCCGCGUGUGUGGAGAAGGCCUUCGGGUUGUAAAGCACUUUUAUCAGGAGCGAAACGCUGUCGGCUAAUACCCGGCGGAACUGACGGUACCUGAGGAAUAAGCACCGGCUAACUUCGUGCCAGCAGCCGCGGUAAUACGAAGGGUGCAAGCGUUAAUCGGAAUUACUGGGCGUAAAGCGUGCGUAGGCGGUUUCUUAAGUCUGCUGUGAAAUCCCCGGGCUCAACCUGGGAAUGGCAGUGGAUACUGGGAGGCUAGAGUGUGUCAGAGGGUGGUGGAAUUCCCGGUGUAGCGGUGAAAUGCGUAGAGAUCGGGAGGAACAUCAGUGGCGAAGGCGGCCACCUGGGACAACACUGACGCUGAGGCACGAAAGCGUGGGGAGCAAACAGGAUUAGAUACCCUGGUAGUCCACGCCCUAAACGAUGCGAACUGGAUGUUGGUCUCAACUCGGAGAUCAGUGUCGAAGCUAACGCGUUAAGUUCGCCGCCUGGGGAGUACGGUCGCAAGACUGAAACUCAAAUGAAUUGACGGGGUCAUAGCUGUUUCCUG